AGCAUAUACACAACCUAUAUAUGCCAUACAUGUAAUGUAUUUCUUUUUUACUUCCCUUAUAUUCAGCAUGGCUUCCAGAUCUAAAAGAAAGAGGAAGUCAACCGACUCUCAACCAGCAGAGAUGCCAGCAGUGGCAACAACUGACACCAUCCAACGUACAACGCCAUCCUCACCACAAGAUGUCGAAAGUAUGGUUAAACCCUGAAAGGCAGCUAUCAUCUCUAAAAUUGAGCUAACCUGUAGAGAAAUUUUAACCCGUAAAACAGAAUAACCUUUGACAGCCACACGGUCUGGACCUGUGGCCACGGUCAUGGCAUCAACAAUACCAGAGGACACCAGUGAGGAAGAAUAUAACGAUGACCUACAACCUGCCCAGUCUCUUCUUCAGGACUUUACAGGUUACAGGUCUCAGAAUUCAAAACCAGGUUUCCCCAUUUGGACAAAGAACGGACACCAGUUCCUCUUUCCCUAACAAGGAUUUAAGUCAAGCUGCUGAUUAUAACUUCCCAGCCAACUCAGCAAAUUAACUACUUCAGCUGACAAGUCGGUAUUCCAAUCAUACAAACACUUUGUCCAAUUUUGUUUUUAAUAAAUCUCCUUUUCCAUUGGCUUUACAGCACCCCUCGGCAUUUAUUGCUCACUGCUAUCUUCAGGGAUCAGCUGCUUCUACAGUAUGAAAUUUAAUAUCGGCUUUAAAUUUCAUCUUUCAGCUAGGACAUUUUUCUGACAUCACACAACAUUUCAUUAUUAAAAAAAUUGUUACAAGGGUUCCAAAAAGUUAAAACAUAAUCAAACUCCUAAUAACUCUCAGUAUUCUAAAACGUUUUCUUCUAGCUUUGGAAUACACAGCAUCUUCAUGUUUCACUGAGUGUCUAUGUUCUUUGUAGCAUUUUGUGCUUCCUUACGUAUUGGGGAAAUCAAUAAAACCUCUGGUUCAACGCAACACUUCAUCUUAUUUGGAACCUAAACUAUCGAAUCAGAUUGCACAACAUGAGCAAUAUAUAUAUAGAGAUAACCAUUCCGCACUUCUGCAAAACAAAACAGAUUCAAAUCUUUGUCCACAUAAGUCUGUAAUGCAAUAUCUCAGUAUAAGAAAGCAUGAUUUACCAUCUCAACCACUAUUCUCCUUCAUGGAUGGGGUCCCAGUUUCGAGACAAUUGUUCACAGAGCAAUUUCGGCUAGCUCUAUUUUUCUGUAAUCUUAACCUGCAUUAAUACCAAACUCAUAGUUUCUUAAUUGGCGCUGCCACCAAGGCAGCUGUCCGAGGUUUUUCAAAACUUUAAAUCAAACACAUGGGGAGAUGGAAGUCAAAUGCGUUUAAAAAGUGUUUCCACCUUUCAACUAUGAGACAUCUGCAGUCUGUGAUUCAGUUUCAAAACACCUGUCAUCAGUCAGGGGCUGAUGAAUGUUUAAUAAGUGAGGACACCUGUUAUAAGGCAGGGGCUGAUAACUUUGGAACACUUGCCUUCAGGCAAGGACUGGUGGGUUUUUGUAAAGUAGGUUAAGACACUUAUCAGACAGGGGCUGAUACUUUAAAAACACUUGUCUUCAGUCAAAUGGUGGUGGCUUUUUUAUGUAUAAAUGUACAUUUCUUUUUAUUGUUUUUGUUUUGAUGAUGGGCACGUUUACAAGCAAGUCGAUAUUUGUUCACUUAUGUUACUUGAUAUUCAUUCGUACAAAUGCCGCGUAGCUUCUUAACAUGGACUUUUAACGACCCCUUUUUCCAGAUUUUUUCCAAGUUUGCCAGAUGAUUAGGGCUUCCUUUUUAUAUGCCAAAUAUGCAAUGUUAACUAGCAUAAUAUGUUACAUGUAGAUUACACACUUAUUGUUUUCAGGUGCAAAAAUUAUAAUUUGGCAAUUUGAACUAUUAUUACAUGUAUGUAACUUUUACAAUAUGUGAAGCCUUUGAUUGUGUUUGUUUACUGUCAUUUAUUAUUUAUUGUAAUAAAUGACCUAUUCUACUCUUAAAUGGCUGUUAUUGUUGAUGCGGUAAAGCUAGACAGGUAUACAAAUGAUUUAUGCCAAUAAAGCAUUUAUAUAUGUUGCCUUGUGGUUAUGUAUAUGAUGCACAUAGUCGGGAUUUCCGGGUAUUUAUAGCAUCCCAAUUACAUCUUUCCUGACUGCACAUGCGCAUUCUAGUUUCAAUAUUUUUAAAUAAAGUCGAUUUUGAGUUCCCAGCACCCUCCCCACCUCAAAUGCCGUGUUUACUUGUUAUACUUUUUAUGAUGCCCAUUUUUUUCCAAAUUUAGUCCAAGUUUGUAAAUGUUUUGGUCUUCUUUUUUUUUUAAUACCAAUGUGCCAUGUUUACUAGAUGGGCUUUUAACGCCCAGUUUUUCCAGAUUUUUACCAAGUUUGCCAUAUGAUUUGGGUUGUUUGUAUAUGCCAAACAUGCAAUGUUUACUAGCAUAAUAUGUUAUAUGUAGAUUACACACCCAUUGUUCUCAGGUGCAAAAAUUGUGAUUUGGCAAUUUGUAUAAUACAUUAUCUGUAAUAUUACAUGUGUAUAAUUUUAACAAUAUGUGAAGCUUUAGAUUAUGUUUGUUUACUGUCAUUUAUUGUAAUAAAUGACAUAUUCUACUCUUGA